UGGCAGCCACCUUGGUUAGGCUUGGGCUCUUGUCUGUCAAGCAGGUUCAGGUUCAAUUCUACCCCUUUGAGAAGUAGAGAUGAUGAGGACCUUCCUCUAGAUGAUGAGUAAUGAGAAGGUCCACUCCACCAAUCUCAACUGCUCAGCUAUUGUGGACAUGAGGUGGACAUGCAGCAUAAUGACUUCGAGCCCUGUGUGGACAUGCUGUUCAGAGAUGCUGUGUGGUCAUCGCCUCAUUAUGUGCUGCACCCAUCUCACCACUCUGGAAAUGCUCACUGUCUUUGCCUCCCACAUUGAGGCCAGAGAUGUGGCAAGGAGC
rnacentral:lncRNA from 1 species